CUGUGUAGCCCAGGCUAUGCAAGACCUCCAUCUGUAGACCAGGCUGGCCACCAACUCAGAGAUCUGACUGCUUUUGCUUCAGAACCUGGCUGUCUUUUCAGGCAGGCUCUCUCAACAAAGCACAAGCUGGCAUCAAACUUACCAUAAGGCAUGAUUGGAAAGGAGAAAGGAAGGCUUUUUUCCUGACAGAACCCUACCAGAGCAGAGGAGACGAACACACCCAUCGCUGACACCAGGCAUCUACCCAUGCAGGAGC